rnacentral:rRNA from 1 species
CAGUCGCCGCGGGAAUACGUAGGUGGCAAGCGUUGUCCGGAAUUAUUGGGCGUAAAGGGCUCGCAGGCGGUUUCUUAAGUCUGAUGUGAAAGCCCCCGGCUCAACCGGGGAGGGUCAUUGGAAACUGGGAAACUUGAGUGCAGAAGAGGAGAGUGGAAUUCCACGUGUAGCGGUGAAAUGCGUAGAGAUGUGGAGGAACACCAGUGGCGAAGGCGACUCUCUGGUCUGUAACUGACGCUGAGGAGCGAAAGCGUGGGGAGCGAACAGGAUUAGAGACCCCAGUAGUCCCUGUCUCUUAUAU